GACGAACGCUGGCGGCGUGCUUAACACAUGCAAGUCGAACGGAAAGGCCCUGCUUUUGUGGGGUGCUCGAGUGGCGAACGGGUGAGUAACACGUGAGUAACCUGCCCUUGACUUUGGGAUAACUUCAGGAAACUGGGGCUAAUACCGGAUAGGAGCUCCUGCUGCAUGGUGGGGGUUGGAAAGUUUCGGCGGUUGGGGAUGGACUCGCGGCUUAUCAGCUUGUUGGUGGGGUAGUGGCUUACCAAGGCUUUGACGGGUAGCCGGCCUGAGAGGGUGACCGGCCACAUUGGGACUGAGAUACGGCCCAGACUCCUACGGGAGGCAGCAGUGGGGAAUAUUGCACAAUGGGCGGAAGUCUGAUGCAGCAACGCCGCGUGCGGGAUGACGGCCUUCGGGGUGUAAACCGCUUUCGCCUGUGACGAAGCGUGAGUGACGGUAAUGGGUAAAGAAGCACCGGCUAACUACGUG
rnacentral:rRNA from 1 species